ACACGCCACAACAACGAGAAAAAUAAAAUUUAUCCAUAAUCGAUAAACAUCAAUAACAACAAAUAGAAAAACGGAACAUGGUGGAAAUUUAUUCAUAAAAAUAGACGAUUUCAUCAUCUUCCUGAUGAUGAGGGCUCAGAUUCCUCGAAACAUGUAGAAAAAACAAAAAUAAAUAACAUCGAUAAGUACAAAGAAAAUAAUUUGACCUCAUAUCCUUUACAUCCUAUUUCAACCUAUCCGUACUUUUUGAUUAGUCGUCCAAUGAGUGUUAUUCCUGAAGCAAAUACAUCACAUGAUAUACCAAACUAGUGAUGUAAAGUUUAGUUACUUUUUAGUAUUUGUAACUAUCCGUUACUUUCAGAAAAAGUAUUCGUUACUUUGUACUCGUUACAAGUAAUCGUUUGCGCUUGAGGUUCCAGUACUAGUUUGCGCUCGAGGUACUCCUUUUAGUUGAACUACAUACUUAUAUGAAUUUAUUUUAUAUUACACUUAUUUUUGAAAACAAAUACUGUACGUAUAUUAUAUUGUGUUUGUUACGCUAUUAUGCACUGUGCACUAAUAUCAAAAAAUAGAGUGUAGGUUAUGGGAUUUACUUUUUCACUGCAUAUUAUAACGAAGAAUUUUUCUUAAUUAUUAUUA